UUGUGACUGAGUGGCGGACGGGUGAGUAACGCGUGGGUAACCUGCCUCAGUACAGGGGAUAACAGUUAGAAAUGACUGCUAAUACCGCAUAAGCGCACGGAGACGCAUGUCUUUGUGUGAAAAGCCGAGACGGUAUAAGAUGGACCCGCGUCUGAUUAGCCAGUUGGCAGGGUAACGGCCUACCAAAGCGACGAUCAGUAGCCGGCCUGAGAGGGCGGACGGCCACAUUGGGACUGAGACACGGCCCAAACUCCUACGGGAGGCAGCAGUGGGGAAUAUUGCACAAUGGGGGAAACCCUGAUGCAGCGACGCCGCGUGAGUGAAGAAGUAUUUCGGUAUGUAAAGCUCUAUCAGCAGGGAAGAAAAGAAUGACGGUACCUGACUAAGAAGCCCCGGCUAACUACGUG
rnacentral:rRNA from 1 species